CAGUCGCCGCGGGAAUACGAAGGGUGCAAGCGUUAAUCGGAAUUACUGGGCGUAAAGCGUGCGUAGGCGGUGAGUUAAGUCUGCUGUGAAAUCCCCGGGCUCAACCUAGGAAUGGCAGUGGAUACUGGCUCGCUAGAGUGUGUCAGAGGAUAGUGGAAUUUCCGGUGUAGCAGUGAAAUGCGUAGAGAUCGGAAGGAACAUCUGUGGCGAAGGCGACUAUCUGGGCCAACACUGACACUGAGGCACGAAAGCGUGGGGAGCAAACAGGAUUAGAUACCCGCGUAGUCCCUGUCUCUUAUAC
rnacentral:rRNA from 1 species